rnacentral:rRNA from 1 species
CCGAAGCCGCGGAUGCACUGGUUAUCCAGUGCGUGGUAGGGGAGCGUUCUGUAAGUCUGCGAAGGCGGUUCGAGAGGACUGCUGGAGAUAUCAGAAGUGCGAAUGCUGACAUGAGUAACGUUAAAGCAGGUGAAAAGCCUGCUCGCCGUAAGCCCAAGGAUUCCUGCUCUACGUUCAUCGGAGCAGGGUGAGUCGGCUCCUAAGGUCAGGCCGAAAGGCGUAGCCGAUGGGAAUCAGGUUAAUAUUCCUGAACCUGCGUCAGAUGCGAUGGGGGGACGGAGCAUGGAAGAUCAUCCGGGUGUUGGAAGUCCCGGUUGUUGAGCGUAGGAGGUCUGCAGGCAAAUCCGCAGACGCAUCUCCAAGGCGAAGUCACGUGCCGCCACGGCGGCGAAGUGAUCGGAAGUGCUUCCAAGAAAAGCCUCUAAGCCCCAGUCUGACGCGGACCGUACCGCAAACCGACACUGGUGGGCGAGCUGAAUAUGCUCAGGCGCUUGAGAGAACUCGGGAGAAGGAACUCGGCAAAUUGACACCGUAACUUCGGAAGAAGGUGUGCCGUAGUACCGUGAGAGGAGAGACACCUUGAGCGGGAAACGGUCUCAGAGAAUAGGUGGCUGCGACUGUUUAUUAAAAACACAGCACUCUGCAAAGUCGAAAGACGACGUAUAGGGUGUGAUGCCUGCCCGGUGCUGGAAGAUUAAUUGAUGGGGUGAGAGCCCUUGAUCGAAGUCCCAGUAAACGGCGGCCGUAACUAUAACGGUCCUAAGGUAGCGAAAUUCCUUGUCGGGUAAGUUCCGACCUGCACGAAUGGCAUAACGAUGGCCACACUGUCUCCUCCCGAGACUCAGUGAAGUUGAAAUGUUUGUGAUGAUGCAAUCUACCCGCGGCUAGACGGAAAGACCCCAUGAACCUUUACUGCAGCUUUGCAUUGAACUGUGAACCGAUUUGUGUAGGAUAGGUGGGAGGCAGAGAAGAGGCCACGCCAGUGGUCUUGGAGCCGACCUUGAAAUACCACCCUGAUUUGUUUGCGGUUCUAACCACGGACAGUGAUCCUGUCUUGGGACCGUGCAUGGUAGGCAGUUUGACUGGGGCGGUCUCCUCCUAAAGGGUAACGGAGGAGUACGAAGGUACGCUAGGUACGGUCGGAAAUCGUGCUGAUAGUGCAAUGGCAAAAGCGUGCUUGACUGCGAGAGCAACAACUCGAGCAGAUGCGAAAGCAGGUCAUAGUGAUCCGGUGGCUCUGAAUGGAAGGGCCAUCGCUCAACGGAUAAAAGGUACUCUGGGGAUAACAGGCUGAUACCGCCCAAGAGUUCAUAUCGACGGCGGUGUUUGGCACCUCGAUGUCGGCUCAUCUCAUCCUGGGGCUGUAGUCGGUCCCAAGGGUAUGGCUGUUCGCCAUUUAAAGAGGUACGUGAGCUGGGUUUAAAACGUCGUGAGACAGUUUGGUCCCUAUCUGCCGUGGGCGUUGGAAGAUUGACGGGGGCUGCUCCUAGUACGAGAGGACCGGAGUGGACGCACCUCUGGUGUACCGGUUGUCACGCCAGUGGCAUUGCCGGGUAGCUAAGUGCGGAAGAGAUAACCGCUGAAAGCAUCUAAGCGGGAAACUUGCCUGAAGAUGAGUCUUCCCGGAGGUAAAACCUCCCUCAAGAGUCGUCCGAGACCAGGACGUCGAUAGGUCAGGUGUGUAAGCGCUGUGAGGCGUUGAGCUAACUGAUACUAAUUGCUCGUGAGGCUUGAUCCU